ACAUCAAAUUUCAUUUACGGGCCAAUUUUUCCAAUCACUGACACGUUGUCGUUGAGGUUAUCCAGCCUUGGUUUCGUAAAUUUCGUUUUGGGUCUUUCUUGCGAGAAAUAUAGUUGACAGACAAAUUAAACACUCCAGCUAAAGCGACUACAUAAAAAUUCUGAAAGAAAACACUUUGCAAUCCAAGAGAGAUAUGCAUCUAUGGCCCUCAAUGAGAAUAAGAGACUCUUUCAAGAUCGGAUAUCUGAAAAAACUGGAAUGGAACCUCCAGAGGAUGAACAGAGAGAAGAAGCGGUCUCAACAAAGCAGUAGCAACCAAGAGAAACUCUUAGACGAUGAUACUGUUGAAAAAGUAAACGGUGUCGUUGAUGGAAGAGUUUCAGAAGAUACAUCCCUUUCAAAGAUUUCUUGUUUAGUUAAAUCUGCUUUGGUUUGCAGAGAAGUUCUCAUGGUUCUCACUUGCUGCUACUGUUGUUUCCGCUGUGGAGGUUUAACAAUACUUUCUACUUCCUGCAUUGAAAACAAAUACAAUAAUAUUGAUUUUAGUA